rnacentral:rRNA from 1 species
GCCUGCUGGACGACAACUGACGCUGAGGCGCGAAAGCGUGGGGAGCAAACAGGAUUAGAUACCCUGGUAGUCCACGCCGUAAACGAUGGAUACUAGGUGUGGGGGGACUGACCCCCUCCGUGCCGCAGUAAACACAAUAAGUAUCCCACCUGGGGAGUACGACCGCAAGGUUGAAACUCAAAGGAAUUGACGGGGGCCCGCACAAGCAGUGGAUUAUGUGGUUUAAUUCGACGCAACGCGAAGAACCUUACCGGGAUUUGACAUCCUGCUAACGAAGUAGAGAUACAUUAGGUGCCCUUCGGGGAAAGCAGAGACAGGUGGUGCAUGGUUGUCGUCAGCUCGUGUCGUGAGAUGUUGGGUUAAGUCCCGCAACGAGCGCAACCCUUAUUGUUAGUUGCUACGCAAGAGCACUCUAGCGAGACUGCCGUUGACAAAACGGAGGAAGGCGGGGACGACGUCAAAUCAUCAUGCCCCUUAUGUCCCGGGCUACACACGUAAUACAAUGGCGUUAAACAGAGGGAAGCAAAGCCGCGAGGCAGAGCAAAACCCUAAAAGGCGUCUCAGUUCGGAUCGCAGUCUGCAACUCGACUGCGUGAAGUUG